UUGGGAUGGGACCUGCGGUGCAUUAGCUAGUUGGUAGGGUAAGGCCUACCAAGGCGAUGAUGCAUAGCCGAGUUGAGAGACUGAUCGGCCACAUUGGGACUGAGACACGGCCCAAACUCCUACGGGAGGCAGCAGUAGGGAAUCUUCCACAAUGGACGCAAGUCUGAUGGAGCAACGCCGCGUGAGUGAAGAAGGGUUUCGGCUCGUAAAGCUCUGUUGUUGGUGAAGAAGGACAGGGGUAGUAAUUGACCGUUGUUUGACGGUAAUCAAUUAGAAAGUCACGGCUAACUACGUGCCAGCAGCCGCGGUAAU
rnacentral:rRNA from 1 species